UCCAUUUAUUAAUUGAUAAAAAGGAAAGAUCCAGCUUGUGCUACAGACAAUCCCAAGAGAAAGAACAAAAACAUAAAGUGUAAAGAAACAGACACAGACAACUAAAAAGAAAAAAUCUAUACACAUAAAAAUAGCUGGAGAAAGCUCACGCCUCCCUUCAUCUUCCAAAUCAAUUCCGUGAAUCUCCGGCUAACUUUACCCCGAUUGUCGGCGUCGAAGCAUGGAUCCAAGAGCUUGGGCGAGAAUCACUUUUGUUGUAACAUGUCUCACUACUUCCAUGAAUUCGACUCCAUUGAAGACUUCUUCUGCUCCCAGUUUGGCAUCAAUCCCAACAAUUCUAGGUAUGCCCCUUCCUUUGUGACCAAAGAGAUUCCAUUUGAGUGUUAUGUUAACCUUUUCCCUGACUCGUGCAGGCUGAGCUCCGUAGAAAUGAUACCACUGCCUCAAAUCAUGGAUUAGAUCAACACAAUACUCUAGGAUUUAAGAUCGAGGUACCCCUAAAAAACAUGUCUUGUUAUAUUUGUUCAGUGAUACCACAUGUUGCGCAUUUGAUCUGGCAGUCCUUGAUAAAUUAUUUUGUCCACUUGUAUUCAUCUCGAUUGUUUGAAAUAUUUGUUUUUCCCCUUCUUGAAUCUGAUAUUUGGUGUUCCUUUCUUGUCCAAUUGUAGUAUAGAUUUAGCCUGUGCUGGUAGUUCCUCGAUGUAAUUAAACUGGAUACACUCUGCAGCUGCAAAAUUAACAACUAAAUUAGCUAAGAAAUCUGUCAGCGAGUUCCCUUCUCUAAAAGUAUGAACCACAGUUACUUGUUUAUUGACCAUAACUUCUUUGAUCUCCCUAAUGUCUGCUGAUAUGAUCCAUGGAACUUCCUAAUUCCCAUCCAAGGUCUUCUUAAUAAUUAAGGAAUCUGUCUCCAUUAUCAAAGGUAAAAGAUUAUGGCUUAAGCAAUACAAUAAACCAUCUUUAAAACCUUUAACUCAGCCUCUAAUGAUGAACAAAACUCCAACUUGCUAGCUCUAGCAUAUACCAAAUCUCCUUGACCAUCUCUUAUACAAAAUGACUUGGAACAUAGGCCAUAAUUGACUUGACAGGAACCAUCAGAGUUGCAUUUGUAUCUUCCUCCCUCAGGACACUUCCACCUUAUCACUGUGGUGCUUAUUAGAGGUGAAUAACUUUCCAGAAAUUGUACAAUAUAUGGCCAGGUGUUAGGUAUUUCUGCCAACCAAGGGUACCUUGCUCUUGCCAUGAAAUAUACAUUUCUAUUGAUCUCCAACACCAUAGCAUUUCUAGUCAUAUUUCCCCAUGAGCUAUCAUGUUUCUCCUUUUCCACAAUUGUCAAAUGAUAAAAGAUGGCAUGGCUCUACACAAAGGUUUUAAUUUUGCUGCACAGUCCUCUGUCCACCAUUUGUAGAUUGUCUGUCUCAUCUGAUUGAAUGGUCCUUGCAUGCCCAUAGCUGCUGCAAACAAAUUCCAUAAAUACUUAGCAUCCGUACAUGAUAUAAAUAGGUGAUUAAAUGAUUCAUGUUCAUGACUGUUACAACAACAACACUCAAUGGAAUUUGCUAUCCUGCACCUAACUAGGACUUCCCCUAUUGGAAUCCUCUUAAACCAAAUUCUCCACAUCAGAAAAGAUAUCUUGAAAGGUAAGCCCUUCUCCCAUAUAAACAAUAUAUCUUUUUGAGGAUCCUUCCUACUUCUGAUAAUAUCCCAUGCACUCUUAACAGAAAAAUUUCAUUUACUGUUUGGCAUCCACCAUUGCUUGUCCCUCUCUUCUACAUGUUGAGUAUGACCCAAAAUAGAGUUAACAUGAUCGCAAAUGUCUUUUCCCAAUAGUUCUGUCAUUAGGUUAAUAUUCCAUUUUCCAUCCAAUCUAAGUUGAUUGACCUCUUCCAGAUUUUCAUUAGCAACUUGAUCAAUAGGCAUAAUAUAGUGUAGAGCUCCAAGUUGUGUCCAAUUGUCAUACCAUAAGCUAGCAUGACCACAUCUAGGUUCCCACCAUAUUUCUUGAUCAAAGUUAUCUCUGGCCAGUAACAUUAGCUUCCAAACUUGAGACACACCCCUCCAUUCCACCACUUGAGGUAUAUUCCUCUUGCAGUACUUAUUCCACAUAAAUUGGGACCAUAGUGAAUUUGUUGUUCUAAACAUCCACCAUAGUUUUGCAAACACAGUUUUGGACACAUCAAACAGAGAUCUGAAACCAAGACCCCCUUCCUCUUUAGGCAGACAAAUAUCAUCCCAGGCUAUCCAGUGCUUUGCCCUACUAUUUUCUUUGAAGUUCCAAAGAAAUUUUGCAAACAUUCUAUGGAGGUCCUUUAUUACACAUUUUGGGAGCACCAACACAGAUAACAAGUAUACAGGAAUACUUUGCAACACAUGAUUGAUAAGUACCGCCUUACCACCAAAGGACAAGAGCUUACCUUUCCAGACUUGCAACUUAUUUUGAACUUUUUUAAUCAACUCAUUAAAAUGAGAUUUCUUCAUCUUUGCAUGACUAAUAGGGCAUCCUAAAUAAAUUAUAGGGAAAUCACCUCUCACAAAUCCAGUAGCCUCCUCAACUUCAUUUAUAAGAGCAUUACCAGCCGUUUUAAACAUGUAGAAGUAGCUCUUAUCUCUAUUGAUCUUUUGCCCUGAUUGGUUUUCAUACUCCUUCAAGGUAUUCAUAAUAAGAUCAAUGGAUUUCUUCUCAGCAGCAGCAAAUAUGAUUGUAUCAUCAGCAUAAGCAAGAUGAUUUAACUUCUCACUCCACUUUGGCAUCCCAUAUCCUUUGAAGUCAGUGUUAUAGAACAACUGGUUUAGUGCUCUGGUGAGCACUUCUGCAGUGAUAAUAAAUAAAGCAGGUGAUAAAGGAUCCCCUGCUUCACCCCUCUAGAGGAAUGAAAAAAACCAUGUGCAUGGCCAUUGAUUAGUAUAGAAUACCAGUUGUUGGCUAUUAGUCUCCAGAUCAUGUCAACCACCACUGAGUUAAAACCCAUACAUUAAAGUACUUUCACUAAGAAACUCCAAUUCACCCUAUCAUAAGCUUUAGCCAUGUCUAGUUUCAUCACAACAUUGGCUGGUUUUCCUCUUUUCCUGAUAUCUGUGAGCUAGUAGUACAUUUUCUGAUAUGCUUCUACCAUUCACAAAUCCAGACUGAUUCACAGAAUUAUUCUUGGUAAUAAGCCUUCUAGUCUAUCAUGUAAUGUUUUAGAGAUCACCUUAUUUAUAAAAUUACUUAAACUAAUUGGUCUUAAGUUUGAGAAGGUUUGAAUGGACUCUUUCUUAGGCAACAAAACCAAAUUAGUGUGAGUAAUAGAUUUAGGAAGGGUAUUUCCCUGGAAAAAUGAUUGAACAAUACCCACAAUAUCUUCGCCAACUAUCUCCCAACAAGCCUAAAAGAAGUGUCAUGUAAAACCAUCUGGGCCACAUAUACUCUCCCCAUUAAGCUCAAAGACCAUUUUUUUUAUCUCACUAUACUCAGGAAUUGUCUGUAAUAACUCAUUAUCUUCUGUAGUCACAAGAGGCUGAAUGCUCUGUAAGAGGGAGAAGUCACUUUGUAAGUUGGUUCCAGAAAAUUGGUUCUGAAUGAAACGUAUUGCUUCAGUUGCCACUUCAUCCUCUCAUUGAGCCUAUAGACCAUCAACUUUCAUUAUUCUCUGUAUAUUUAGCCUCCUCUUCCUUCCCCUGAACAAUCCAUGAAAAUACUUAGUGUUCUUAUCUCCCUCUGAAUGCCACUGAACGCUUGCCUUCUGCCUCCAAAACUCCUCCUCAUAGUGUAUAUACAUCUUAUAUUCAGCAUGAGCUUGCUGUAGAAUAGCCCUGUUAGAUGAUGUAGGAUUUUUUUCAUAGAGAUCUUCUUUCAUCCUAACUAUUUCUUCUCUGAUAUGCAGUUGUUUGAAGAUAUCACCAAAUUGUUCUCUGCUACAUUUGGAUAGAGCCACUUUUGUUCUUUUUAAUCUUAACUUCCAUUGUAAAAAAACAUCAUCAUAGUGAUCUUUAUUCCAGCUAGCCUUCACCACAUCUUUAAAGUCUGCCCUGUCAGUCCAAAAUUUUAAAAACCUGAAUGGUUUUAUAAAAUUCUGAUUCUGACCUCCACAUUUUAAUAAUAAAGGUGCAUGAUCAGAUCCAGUCCUUGCUAAGUGUUGUAGUUCCAUGUUGCCAUGUAGAUCCUGUAGCUUCUGAUUAAUCAACAAUCUAUCCAAUCUUUUAAAUGUACAUUCUGAAUCAGCUCGUCCAUUCCACCAAGUAAAUGGACUACCAGAGAAACUUAUAUCAAACAAUUCACAAGAAUUGAUACAGAAGGCAAAAUUCUCAUAUUCUUGGAUAUAAACAGGAAGACCUCCUAUCUUUUCAUCUUCCCCCAGAAUUACAUUAAAAUCUCCCCCUACCAACCAAGGCUCUGAAUAAUAAUCAUUAAUGAAAUACAAGUCAUUCCAAAGUUUUAUCCUCUCCUCUGUUGUACAUUUGGCAUAUAUCAAAGUAGUAAGCAAUUGUUUUCCAUAUUCCAACGUGAGUUGAAGGGUGAUUUGCUGCUCUGUAUCUGAGAUCACCCCUACCUGAAUAUGAUCCUUUAUAAAUACCCAAAUCUUUCCAUUUGAGUUAUAACCUCCUUUUAAAAAUUUGUAUUUGUCUAGUAUCUUGAAAUGGUUCCAUCAAAGCAAUUAAGAAGAAUUUGUGGUGUCUGUGUAACAUUUGAACUCUGUGAAAUGCAUUUUGAGUCCUCAUAGACCUUAUGUUCCAAAUGAGUGCUUUCAUUAUCAUCUAAUUGAUGAUUUUACCACCCUCUUGGCUUGUAUUCUUGUUGGUUGAACAUCAUCCUCCUUUUUAGUUUUACCUUUUUUGCAUUUCAAUAAAACUAAAGGAGAGAUUACAGCCUCUCUACAUACCUCCAUUGCAUUUUGAUCACUAUUCACUUCAUCUGUGUCUUCUAUGAAUGAACUGGCAGCCUUGAUCUCCACCACCAUAUCCUCUUGACUUUGAUGUGAUAUUAGUGUGUGGAGUUUCUCCAUAAGGGCUGAUUUUACACUACAACUCAUAAUUGCUGACCUAUUAUCUUUCUCUGGUGUUGGUAUAACAGGAACUACAACUACUGCACAAGAAAGACUUUCUUCAACCAAUGGAACUACAAUUUGGAGGGGAAUCUGGCAAUCUGCCUCAGCUAACUCUUUCAAGAGUAAGCUGUCAGCCUCUUCUUUCUGUUUUUCCUCCACUGCAGCAACAAUCUGGGAAUCCUGUUUAUUCAUUUGAUUGAGACUGAUAUCUUCUAUAUUUUGCUUUGUAGGUACAAUUAUCAGCUGCCUCUCUCCUUCUCCCAGCACUACAUCAAUCAUCCCUUGUGCCUGUUGACCAUUAUGCACCAAUUGUUCCUCCAUUAGUUCCCCACUAUGCCGUGUUGCUAUUUUUUCUGUAUUGUCCUGCUCAGUGGUUCUAUUGAUGCUACAUGUGUCUCCAUAUCCCUUUACUUGAUAAUUUGCAAAUGCAUUAGUUAUCCAUUCCUUUGUCAAUGAGUGAUGAUGAACCUUGUUAGCUUCCCUUUGACUCUUGACUUCACUUGUUUUAUCAUUACUAUAAUUUGUCCCUGUAGAUUCCUCUGGAUGCACCUCUUCUUUCUUCUCGGCCAGUGCAGCAAAAGCAUUAUCAAUAUUAAUGCCCUUUUCUAUCAUUUUUUGUACUCCAAUUUAUUGCUCACCCUACUUAUCUCGUGACUCUUGUAUGUUGAUGGGUUUCCAAUAUCUUCGAACAACUCGUCUCCUUCUUGUUGCAUGUUCAUUGCCCUGCUCUUCAUUGUUGUUAUCGGUUGUCCCCUGUUUUGUCCCCUUUGCAUUGUGUACCUCUGUUUGCCUUAGUUCAGGAUGGAGGCUUCUACAUGUUUCAUCCUCAUGACCUUGCACUUUACAUUGUUUGCAAUAUUUGGGCAGCAUAUCAUAUUGGAUCUUAACUUUUUCCUUCCUAGACUCAUUUGUCUUUUUGUUUAUAAUCUCCAUCUCUACAUGCUUAGGAAACUCACUUAACAAGUCCACUUGCACCUUGACCCUCGCACAACUAGGUCUAGUUUUAUUGAUUGUUGCCAUGUCUAACUGAAGAGGUUUUCCAACUACAGGUGCUAAUGAAAACAAGGCUUCCUUCACAAAAUAUGUGGGUUUUAAAUCCGAGAAGGAUAUCCAUGCCAUAGCUUGUGUCGUCUCUUCUUCAACCUUAAACUUAGCAUCAUAUAUAAGUGGCCUCAUAGUAUAUGAAUAACCGUCCUUGGCCAGAAUAUAAUAUAUGCCUUUUGACAUUAAGUUUAUGAAGUCUUCUUGUUGAUCCAAUCUAAUCAGAACAUGCCUAUUUCUCAAUAGGCCUAUUUUACACUCUCCUUUGAUAUUACACUGUCGUGGGAUACUUGUGCGGAGUUCUUCCAACUCCGGCCAACCAUAGGAAAAUUUUCCAACCACGACGUAUUGAAGAUCUUCCAAACUAUUCAUCCUAUCAACUUCCUCUUCUGUCCACACAAUCCUUGGAAUCCCAUUAUUGUAUUGGAGUUGUUUCAAUGGAAUAGGCUCAAUUCCAGCCUUUUGGGCUUGAUUGUUGAUAUGAUUCUUAAGGACAUUAGCAUAAUUGUUAAUUACAUGAGUAUCGUGAGUCGCCAACCCAGGCGCGAUAAGCAGAUUUAAACAAGAAUUUUGUAUUAGAG
rnacentral:lncRNA from 1 species